rnacentral:rRNA from 1 species
UACGUAGGGUGCGAGCGUUGUCCGGAAUUAUUGGGCGUAAAGAGCUCGUAGGCGGUUUGUCGCGUCUGCCGUGAAAGUCCGGGGCUCAACUCCGGAUCUGCGGUGGGUACGGGCAGACUAGAGUGAUGUAGGGGAGACUGGAAUUCCUGGUGUAGCGGUGAAAUGCGCAGAUAUCAGGAGGAACACCAAUGGCGAAGGCAGAUCUCUGGGCCGUAGCUGACGCUGAGGAGCGAAAGCAUGGGGAGCGAACAGG